CCGUAGUUGAAUACUAGACCUUGUGUAGUUGUAUUCAGGGAUAACCACAGCUGUAUAUUGUACUGGGUGGAUACAAGUCCCUAAACUAAUCAGCUAACUAGCCUACCCGGAGUUCUUAGCUAAACCUUACAAUGUUCUUUUCUAAAGUUUUCCUUCUUACUUCUUCAGUUAUUUUAGCAGCAAAUUCAUUUCCACAGAUUAAGCUUCAAAGUAGAUUUAUAAAUAUAGUGUAGAGAUCACAAACUAAGAAUCCACAAGAGAUGGAAGGAAAAAAUCCGGGAAGGAUGAAAAGAGAAUCCAGGAGCCAGUCUGAUUAGAACCAGGAAGAAGAGAAGAUCAUUCAAGCUUAAUUCUCAACAUAUUUAUAGAAUUUGUAAUAUAUUUAUAUCCUAAGAAUAUCAGUAAAUAUAUAAUCUUCACA